rnacentral:rRNA from 1 species
GCUAGCGGCGGACGGGUGAGUAACACGUGGGCAACCUGCCUCAUAGAGGGGAAUAGCCUUCCGAAAGGAAGAUUAAUACCGCAUAAGAUUGUAGCUUCGCAUGAAGUAGCAAUUAAAGGAGCAAUCCGCUAUGAGAUGGGCCCGCGGCGCAUUAGCUAGUUGGUGAGGUAACGGCUCACCAAGGCGACGAUGCGUAGCCGACCUGAGAGGGUGAUCGGCCACAUUGGGACUGAGACACGGCCCAGACUCCUACGGGAGGCAGCAGUGGGGAAUAUUGCACAAUGGGGGAAACCCUGAUGCAGCAACGCCGCGUGAGUGAUGACGGCCUUCGGGUUGUAAAGCUCUGUCUUCAGGGACGAUAAUGACGGUACCUGAGGAGGAAGCCACGGCUAACUACGUGCCAGCAGCCGCGGUAAUACGUAGGUGGCGAGCGUUGUCCGGAUUUACUGGGCGUAAAGGGAGCGUA